rnacentral:rRNA from 1 species
UGGGGGAUAUUGCACAAUGGGCGAAAGCCUGAUGCAGCGACGCCGCGUGGGGGAUGAAGGCUUUCGGGUUGUAAACCUCUUUCGCUAUCGAACAAGGCCCGCUUAGGGUGGGUUGAGGGUAGGUGGAGAAGAAGCGCCGGCUAACUACGUGCCAGCAGCCGCGGUAAUACGUAGGGCGCGAGCGUUGUCCGGAAUGAUUGGGCGUAAAGGGCUUGUAGGCGGCUUGUUGCGCCUGCUGUGAAAACGCGGGGCUUAACUUCGCGCGUGCAGUGGGUACGGGAAGGCUUGAGUGUGGUAGGGGUGACUGGAAUUCCAGGUGUAGCGGUGGAAUGCGAAGAUAUCUGGAGGAACACCGAUGGCGAAGGCAGGUCACUGGGCCAUUACUGACGCUGAGGAGCGAAAGCAUGGGUAGCGAACAGG